AGAGUCCUACGGGGCGCAGCAGUGAGGAAUAUUGGUCAAUGGGCGGGAGCCUGAACCAGCCACGCCGCGUGAAGGAAGAAGGCGCCAAGCGUCGUAAACUUCUUUUGUCGGGGAACAAAGGGCGCCACGUGUGGCGUUGUGAGUGUACCCGAAGAAAAAGCAUCGGCUAACUCCGUGCCAGCAGCUGCGGUAAUACGGAGGAUGCGAGCGUUAUCCGGAUUUAUUGGGUUUAAAGGGUGCGUAGGCGGUCCGGAAAGUCGGC
rnacentral:rRNA from 1 species